rnacentral:rRNA from 1 species
AACGAACGCUGGCGGCAGGCCUAACACAUGCAAGUCGAACGCUCGUAGCAAUACGGGAGUGGCAGACGGGUGAGUAACACGUGGGAACCUUCCCUAUGGUUCGGAAUAGCUCAGGGAAACUUGGGGUAAUACCGGAUAAGCCCUUCGGGGGAAAGGAUUUAUCGCCAUUGGAUGGGCCCGCGUCGGAUUAGCUAGUUGGUGAGGUAACGGCUCACCAAGGCAACGAUCCGUAGCUGGUCUGAGAGGAUGAUCAGCCACACUGGGACUGAGACACGGCCCAGACUCCUACGGGAGGCAGCAGUGGGGAAUACUGGACAAUGGGCGCAAGCCUGAUCCAGCGAUGCCGCGUGUGUGAAGAAGGCCUGCGGGUUGUAAAGCACUUUCAGUAGGGAAGAAAAGCCGAGUGCUAAUAUCAUUCGGUCUUGACGUUACUUACAGAAGAGGCACCGGCUAACUCCGUGCCAGCAG